UACAUGGGUGACAAUUAGAACAACUACAUGGGUGACAGUCAGAACAACUACGUAGAUUACACGAACAACAGAAAGACGGGCGACAUGAGCAGCUGCAUGAUGGGCGACAGGAACAACAGCAAGAUGGGUUACAUGAAGAACAACUGCAAGGGUAACAUGAACAUGGACAACACGAAGAACAACUACAAGGGUGACAUGAAGAACAACUG
rnacentral:misc_RNA from 1 species